rnacentral:rRNA from 1 species
AGAGUUUGAUCCUGGCUCAGAUUGAACGCUGCAGAAUAACACAUGCAAGUCGAGCGGAGAGAGGUAGCUUGCUACUGAUCUUAGCGGCGGACGGGUGAGUAAUGCUUAGGAAUCUGCCUAUUAGUGGGGGACAACAUUUCGAAAGGAAUGCUAAUACCGCAUACGUCCUACGGGAGAAAGCAGGGGAUCUUCGGACCUUGCGCUAAUAGAUGAGCCUAAGUCGGAUUAGCUAGUUGGUGGGGUAAAGGCCUACCAAGGCGACGAUCUGUAGCGGGUCUGAGAGGAUGAUCCGCCACACUGGGACUGAGACACGGCCCAGACUCCUACGGGAGGCAGCAGUGGGGAAUAUUGGACAAUGGGCGCAAGCCUGAUCCAGCCAUGCCGCGUGUGUGAAGAAGGCCUUAUGGUUGUAAAGCACUUUAAGCGACGAGGAGGAGGCUACUUUAGUUAAUACCUAGAGAUAGUGGACGUUACUCGCAGAAUAAGCACCGGCUAACUCUGUGCCAGCAGCCGCGGUAAUACAGAGGGUGCAAGCGUUAAUCGGAUUUACUGGGCGUAAAGCGCGCGUAGGCGGCUAAUUAAGUCAAAUGUGAAAUCCCCGAGCUUAACUUGGGAAUUGCAUUCGAUACUGGUUAGCUAGAGUGUGGGAGAGGAUGGUAGAAUUUCCAGGUGUAGCGGUGAAAUGCGUAGAGAUCUGGAGGAAUACCGAUGGCGAAGGCAGCCAUCUGGCCUAACACUGACGCUGAGGUGCGAAAGCAUGGGGAGCAAACAGGAUUAGAUACCCUGGUAGUCCAUGCCGUAAACGAUGUCUACUAGCCGUUGGGGCCUUUGAGGCUUUAGUGGCGCAGCUAACGCGAUAAGUAGACCGCCUGGGGAGUACCGGUCGCAAGACUAAAACUCAAAUGAAUUGACGGGGGCCCGCACAAGCGGUGGAGCAUGUGGUUUAAUUCGAUGCAACGCGAAGAACCUUACCUGGCCUUGACAUAGUAAGAACUUUCCAGAGAUGGAUUGGUGCCUUCGGGAACUUACAUACAGGUGCUGCAUGGCUGUCGUCAGCUCGUGUCGUGAGAUGUUGGGUUAAGUCCCGCAACGAGCGCAACCCUUUUCCUUAUUUGCCAGCGAGUAAUGUCGGGAACUUUAAGGAUACUGCCAGUGACAAACUGGAGGAAGGCGGGGACGACGUCAAGUCAUCAUGGCCCUUACGGCCAGGGCUACACACGUGCUACAAUGGUCGGUACAAAGGGUUGCUACCUAGCGAUAGGAUGCUAAUCUCAAAAAGCCGAUCGUAGUCCGGAUUGGAGUCUGCAACUCGACUCCAUGAAGUCGGAAUCGCUAGUAAUCGCGGAUCAGAAUGCCGCGGUGAAUACGUUCCCGGGCCUUGUACACACCGCCCGUCACACCAUGGGAGUUUGUUGCACCAGAAGUAGCUAGCCUAACUGCAAAGAGGGCGGUUACCACGGUGUGGCCGAUGACUGGGGUUGCACUGCGGCUGG